UACGAAGGGGGCUAGCGUUGCUCGGAAUCACUGGGCGUAAAGGGUGCGUAGGCGGGUCUUUAAGUCAGGGGGGAAAUCCUGGAGCUCAACUCCAGAACUGCCUUUGAUACUGAAGAUCUUGAGUUCGGGAGAGGUGAGUGGAACUGCGAGUGUAGAGGUGAAAUUCGUAGAUAUUCGCAAGAACACCAGUGGCUAAGGCGGCUCACUGGCCCGAUACUGACGCUGAUGCACGAAAGCGUGGGGAGCAAACAGG
rnacentral:rRNA from 1 species